rnacentral:rRNA from 1 species
GAUGAACGCUGGCGGCGUGCUUAACACAUGCAAGUCGAACGGGAUCCAAGGGGUGCUUGCACUUUUUGGUGAGAGUGGCGAACGGGUGAGUAACACGUGAGUAACCUGUCCUUUUCUUUGGGAUAAGCAUUCGAAAGGGUGUUUAAUACCUUAUGUUCUGUCUGCCUCGCAUGGGGUGGGUGGGAAAGGCUUUGGCCGGAUUUGGGUGGGCUCGCGGUCUAUCAGCUUGUUGGUGGGGUGAUGGCUUACCAAGGCUUUGACGGGUAGCCGGCCUGAGAGGGUGGUCGGUGACAUUGGGACUGAGAUACGGCCCAGACUCCUGCGGGAGGCAGCAGUGGGGGAAAUUGCACAAUGGGCGAAAGCCUGAUGCAGCGACGCCGCGUGGGGGAUGAAGGCCUUCGGGUUGUAAACUUCUUUUGCUCUGAACAAGGCAUGCCAGUGGGUGUGUUGAGUGUAGGGGUUGAUUAGCGCCGGCUAACUACGUG